GAUUUCUUAUGGGAUGGGGCGUGUCCUGCUGACGGAGGGAACCGCAAUUCAGACACUUGGGAAAUGGGGGAAACCUUUCCAGAUCCCAGCCACACAGAUACUGAGGUCUUCCAAAAGUGUAUAAGCCUCUGGCCCCACACAAUCUGGAUCAUCCCCUGGAGUCAAGGAUGGAAAGUUAUACAGCCACAAAGGCACUGAGGCCAGACUUCUUGCAGGAGACAUCUUAAAUUGUAUUUUAUGAGAGGACCAGUUUGCAGAAGCAAACUGCAAAGACUGUAAGGAAAUAUCAUGAAACAUCCGGACAUACAGUCUCAUUUGCCUACACUGAGUCACUAUUAGAGGAGGGCAUUGAGAGGACAACUACUAAUUGACCCUUGAGUUGGACCCAGGCAUUAGGAAGCACCUCACCUCCUCCCAUGUCCUUGGAAUGUAUGCUGUAUCCAUCAUUCUCACAGAAGGAGCCGUCUUCAAGGACGAAGCCUUGAGAAAACAAUGUAUUGUUGAGACCAUCUGAACAGCAUCUGUGACUGAGCCUACUUAAGGUCUACAUAUAAACUCUUAAAAUUCUGGUGGGUAAAGAAAUCUACUUGUGGCCACAUAGGACAAGCUUUGCUCCUGGGUUUCAGCAGUUGGUCACAGCUACCUUGAAGACAGUCUUUCCUUGUGUCUUCAACUGACGCAUUAAUUCUCUUCUGGAUCUUGAAGUGAUCUCCUCCUGUUGGACAGAGAUACAAUAUCAGCAAUUUAUGACUACAUUCCUGAAGACAUUCCUGAGAAGGAAGGGAGUUGAGCAGGAAGAGCAGUUAACAGCUAAACAAAGGCCUAAUUAAGAAUUAAAUUAUUCAGUUCUAAUUGCCAAAAAUACUGGGGGCAUUAAAAUCACAGGGAGCUUG